rnacentral:rRNA from 1 species
AUUGAACGCUGGCGGCAUGCCUUACACAUGCAAGUCGAACGGCAGCACGGGUGCUUGCACCUGGUGGCGAGUGGCGAACGGGUGAGUAAUACAUCGGAACAUGUCCUGUAGUGGGGGAUAGCCCGGCGAAAGCCGGAUUAAUACCGCAUACGAUCUACGGAUGAAAGCGGGGGACCUUCGGGCCUCGCGCUAUAGGGUUGGCCGAUGGCUGAUUAGCUAGUUGGUGGGGUAAAGGCCUACCAAGGCGACGAUCAGUAGCUGGUCUGAGAGGACGACCAGCCACACUGGGACUGAGACACGGCCCAGACGCCUACGGGGGCAGCAGUGGGGAAUUUUGGACAAUGGGCGAAAGCCUGAUCCAGCAAUGCCGCGUGUGUGAAGAAAGCCUUCGGGUUGUAAAGCACUUUUGUCCGGAAAGAAAUCCUUGGCCCUAAUACGGUCGGGGGAUGACGGUACCGGAAGAAUAAGCACCGGCUAACUACGUG